rnacentral:rRNA from 1 species
AGAGUUUGAUCCUGGCUCAGGAUGAACGCUGGCGGCGUGCUUAACACAUGCAAGUCGAACGAACCUUCGGGUUAGUGGCGGACGGGUGAGUAACGCGUGAGAAUCUGCCCUCAGGAGGGGGAUAACGGUUGGAAACGACCGCUAAUACCCCAUAUGCCGAUAGGUGAAAUGAAUUUCGCCUGAGGAUGAGCUCGCGUCUGAUUAGCUUGUUGGUGAGGUAAUGGCUCACCAAGGCUUCGAUCAGUAGCUGGUCUGAGAGGAUGAUCAGCCACACUGGGACUGAGACACGGCCCAGACUCCUACGGGAGGCAGCAGUGGGGAAUUUUCCGCAAUGGGCGAAAGCCUGACGGAGCAACGCCGCGUGAGGGAUGAAGGCCUCUGGGCUGUAAACCUCUUUUCUCAAGGAAGAAGAUAUGACGGUACUUGAGGAAUAAGCCACGGCUAAUUCCGUGCCAGCAGCCGCGGUAAUACGGGAGUGGCAAGCGUUAUCCGGAAUUAUUGGGCGUAAAGCGUCCGCAGGCGGCCCUUCAAGUCUGCUGUUAAAAAGUGGAGCUUAACUCCAUCAUGGCAGUGGAAACUGUUGGGCUUGAGUGUGGUAGGGGCAGAGGGAAUUCCCGGUGUAGCGGUGAAAUGCGUAGAUAUCGGGAAGAACACCAGUGGCGAAGGCGCUCUGCUGGGCCAUUACUGACGCUCAUGGACGAAAGCCAGGGGAGCGAAAGGGAUUAGAUACCCCUGUAGUCCUGGCCGUAAACGAUGAACACUAGGUGUCGGGGGAAUCGACCCCUUCGGUGUCGUAGCUAACGCGUUAAGUGUUCCGCCUGGGGAGUACGCACGCAAGUGUGAAACUCAAAGGAAUUGACGGGGGCCCGCACAAGCGGUGGAGUAUGUGGUUUAAUUCGAUGCAACGCGAAGAACCUUACCAGGGUUUGACAUCCUGAGAACCUCUUAGAAAUUUGAGGGUGCCUUCGGGAAUUCAGUGACAGGUGGUGCAUGGCUGUCGUCAGCUCGUGUCGUGAGAUGUUGGGUUAAGUCCCGCAACGAGCGCAACCCACGUUUUUAGUUGCCAGCAUUUAGUUGGGCACUCUAGAAAGACCGCCGGUGAUAAACCGGAGGAAGGUGUGGAUGACGUCAAGUCAUCAUGCCCCUUACACCCUGGGCUACACACGUACUACAAUGCUACGGACAAAGGGCAGCAAACUCGCGAGAGCUAGCAAAUCCCAUAAACCGUGGCUCAGUUCAGAUCGUAGGCUGCAACUCGCCUACGUGAAGUAGGAAUCGCUAGUAAUCGCAGGUCAGCAUACUGCGGUGAAUACGUUCCCGGGCCUUGUACACACCGCCCGUCACACCAUGGAAGUUGGCCAUGCCCGAAGUCGUUACUCCAACCCUUGUGGAGGAGGACGCCGAAGGUGGGGCUAAUGACUGGGGUGAAGUCGUAACAAGGUAGCCGUACCGGAAGGUGCGGCUG